rnacentral:piRNA from 1 species
GAACCUAAGACCCAGAAAUCUAACUGGAUGG